rnacentral:rRNA from 1 species
CGGCGAACGGGUGAGUAACACGUGAGUAACCUGCCCCUAGCACCGGGAUAGCUCCGGGAAACCGGAAUUAAUACCGGAUAUGACCACGGUCGGCAUUGACUGUGGUGGAAAGGAUUCCGGCUAGGGAUGGACUCGCGGCCUAUCAGCUAGUUGGUUGGGGUAACGGCCCACCAAGGCGACGACGGGUAGCCGGCCUGAGAGGGCGACCGGCCACACUGGGACUGAGACACGGCCCAG